ensembl:lncRNA
GGAGGAAGAAUCUGGGCCCAAGCCAUGCGAGGCAGGAAGUGCAGGCCCGGGGGCCUGCCUGGCCUGGCUAAGAAGGAGGAGUGCCUAAGGAGCAGGGGCCAAGGGCGUCCACAACUGCAGUCCUGACUCACCCUCCCUGGCCCCACCUCUUCCUCCAGACCCUAAACCGCUUGGAUUCUUAAGUGGUUGGGACUCAGCACCGUCCACUCGUCUCUGCAGACUCAGCUCUGGGCCGAGGGCUGGGGGCUGCAGAGGCGGUUAGGGAUGAAGACCAGGACUCAGCUCAGCUAAGACCAAGGCGGGCAACUGAGUGGAGUCACUGGGCACAGAGGACAUCAGGCUCCACAUUCACGGCCCCAUCGCCACCACCACACCGCCUCUGUCAGCACUGCAACCAGCACCACACUCACCAGCAUCCCUGUCUGCAUCACAGUCAACCUUUGAAAUGUGGCUCAUUGGCCCUCAAUGCUCUUGAGAACUUCCCCUCGACUGACGCCACCUCAUUCCUGUCAGCUGCCGCUGGGCCCAGCCUCCUGCUCCCAGUCCAGCAGCCUCUGGCUUCCUCGAGCACAGUCUACAUGUAACACAUGCUCCCACCUCUCACCCCACCCCUGUCAGGGCCCCUGGACACAGAUCCUCAGACCCCAGAGGGACUCAGGAGAGGGUCAGGUGAUGUGGAUCCCCAGGGUCCAUACCAAACAGACAUGGCCUUAGCAUUGACCUUUCUGAAGCCUCUCCAUCCCUCAAAUCUGGAUUUACCUGUCACCUGGACCAAGGAAUGUCCCGUGGAGAACAUCCAGAUAACUGGCUCAGGACCCCAGUGGUCUGGCCCCCUCCCUCCUACAUUCCUGGUGGAAGAGUCUACUUGUCUCCCCACUGAGAGGGUCCUCCAGGAUCCCAGAGACCCCGCUGAGAACUCAGAGUUUCAUGCCCCAGCCACACAGAAGCCUGGGAUUCUGUGUGCUGAGAAGACCGUGAGAACUUCCCAAGUCCCGGCUGCCUCUGGUCCAGGUGCCCUUGCCAUUCCAAAGGAGGAAGCAAGAGGCAAGCCAGCAUCCCAGCCCCAGGCUCUCCAUGCAGGGAGUGGUCUCCAGGGCAGAGUGUCGACUUCACAUGGAAGGGACAGAUUCCAGGGCUCACCUUCUCUGCCGUUUGUCUCUGCUCAGGGGGCCUGCUUACUCCUCAGAGGACCAGGGGAGCCCGACACUGUUCAGAAAAGCCUCUCCUCUGGGUGACUCCUGGGGUCACUUUAAACCAGGAGCCUUAGAGGGCCAGUGUGCACCCCCAAAGGAGUGGUGCUCUGGUGGGCAGACAGAGGCUUUCUCAGAACCCCUGUAAACCCAACCCCUCGAGUGGGUCACCUCCUCCGCAAGUCUCCUUUUUCAUGGGGAAGGAACUCUCCCAUGGCUCCCCUAUCGGAGUGCGUCUCCUAAAGGAACAGGCCUGGCCACAUAAUUCACGGGGCCCAGGACAAAAUUAAAAUGAAGGGCUCCUUAUUUAUUGUGUGCUCCAGACCCUGCUGCUGCUGCUGCUGCUGCUGCUAAGUCACUUCAGUCGUGUCUGACUCUGUGCGACCCCACAGACAGCAGCCCACCAGGCUCCCCUGUCCCUGGGAUUCUCCAAGCAAGAACACCGGAGUGGGUUGCCAUUUCCUUCUCCAGUGCAUGAAAGUGAAAAGUGAAAGUGAAGUCGCUCAGUCGUGUCCAACUCUUAGCGACCCCAUGGACUGCAGCCCACCAGGUUCCUCCGUCCAUGGGAUUCUCCAGGCAAGAACACUGGAGCUGGGUUGCCAUGCGCUCCUCCAGGGAAUCUUCCCAACCCAAGGAUUGAACCUGCAUCUCCUGUGUCUCCUGCAUUGCCACUGAGCCACCAGCGCAGCCCCUUAUUUGAAACAUAUUUAGGAAUUUCAAGGCAGUGAUAGCAGAAAACUAAACCAAUUUUGGGGUUCUUCUCAGCACAGGGCCCAGGGCACAGGUCACCUUGCCAGUGGGGCUGGCCCUGUAAGGGAGAGACGAUGCCUCUCAUCCGACAAGGCAAGGGGCCGACGACUGAGAGGCCAGACAGGCAGAAGGCCGAUGAGAAGCGAAAGAUGCCUGGAGGUGAGCAGGGUAGGCCCUGGGCCAGGCGGAGCGACACACAGGGUCACCACCUCCACAGCAGCUGGGCUCCUCCACGGGGCCCCGAGGCCAGGCUCAACUCUCAGAUUCGUGCUCUGCAGAGCGAGCGCUGGCAGGAACUCAAGUGGGAGAAAGUUGAGGCUGCGGAGGUGGCCGUGGUGGAAACAUCUAUUUUUACCCUGGCGGGGAGGCAGGUCAGCCGUGGCUUUGAAUGAGUCCCAGAGAAGCCACCACAGGGCCCAAUGAGGGCCUGGGAUGGGACAGCUGUGGGGGAGUAAGGAGGAGGGUGGGCAGCCCAGGGUAGCUGAGAACCAUCCAAGCAGCCCACCAAGCAACCACAGUUACCCCCGCCUCAGGCCAAAGAACAAGAGAGCCUGCACAGAAGGGACCUUCCUACCCUGCCAAGUGACAGAGUCUGGUCCCCACCCCCAUGCCCAGUUCUACUCAAGGAUCACUGCCUGCCUCCCCAGGUCCUUGAAGAUGCUCUGGGCCAUCAAAGUCAGGAGAUUAGAAGAAGAAAGCGAGGGUUUCAGCUAACUUACAUGAUAGGGGAAGCCUGUCCAGUCACCCUCCAUUGGAAGUGAAAAGUGGGUUGUUCUUUAAAUAAGGAGCUGGGAGAAGUGGUUACAAAGCCAGUGAGUGAAGCUCAGGCUGGGGAAUCUGGGACUCUGUGCCAACCUGGCACACUGCCCCAGUGGCCCCCACCCAGCUCCAGGGCUGGCUAGCCCUUCCAGUGCCUCCAGCAGCCCUCCCCGAAAGGUGGAUGCUGUGUGCUGAGGUGUUUAUGUUACAUAAACCCAACCACGCUCAUCAAGACAAUUUGUGGCUCCCCCUGAGUGAGGAAAAUUCAAGCACCUUUUUAUGCCAGGCCAGGCUGGGCUCCUGGCCACAAACCCUGGACCCACUUCUGACUCCUAGGUUCCCUUGGGCCACUGCCAGCGUGCGGGUGGAGGAGGGACACCUCCGCUUGGUUCGCCUCUGCCUGCCCUGCGGGGCCGCCCUCAGGGAGACAGGCAGUUGGCCCCUCAGGCAGCCCGAGCGAGGGAAGAAUGUGGUCCCCUCCAUCCUCAGCAACUCUAGUGCCACACCCAAAGGCCACAGGCCCUCUCCCCCUGUGGUAUAUGCACCUCAGCAAAACUUCUACAUGCUUCCAACCACUCAACAUUUAUUAUCUGGUUUAAUCCCAGGCCCAGUUUCCCACCCUUCUUCCCUGUCACUCCCUCCAGG